UUUUUUUUUCCAGAAAAGGAUUUUUUUUUAUUCAAGUAACUGCAAAUAGGAAACCAGAGGGGGAGCCCCAGGCUGGGACAAAUCAUGGUCACCCCUCCCCAACAGAACAGGGGGAGGAGGUGGCCCCUACGCCCUUUAUGGUUGAUUCGGGACCCCUUGCUCACUCUGCUGCAGCAUCCUAGGGGCAGGGCCCCACCUUCCCUGGGACUGGGGUAGGCGGUCACCCAGCCUGCCAUGAUGAGAUGGGGCUUGGGCCCCUUUUAAGGCCAGGGGAACCCUC
rnacentral:lncRNA from 1 species